AAUAUACUCCCUCCGUCCGAAAAAGCUUGUCCCAAGCUUGUUCCUUAAAUGGAUGUAUCUAACACUAACUUGAUGCUAGAUACAUCCAUUUGAGGGACAAGCUUUUUCGGACGGAGGGAGUAGAAG
rnacentral:pre_miRNA from 1 species